CUAAGAAUAUUCCGCAAUGGACGAAAGUCUGACGGAGCGACGCCGCGUGGAUGAGGAAGGCCGAAAGGUUGUAAAAUCCUUUUGCGGAUGAAGAAUAAGCGGGGCAGGGAAUGGCCUCGUGAUGACGCUAGUCCGUGAAUAAGCCCCGGCUAAUUACGUGCCAGCAGCCGCGGUAACACGUAAGGGGCGAGCGUUGUUCGGAAUUAUUGGGCGUAAAGGGCGCGUAGGCGGCCGUGUAAGUCUGAUGUGAAAUAUCCGGGCUCAACCCGGGGACUGCAUUGGAAACUGUAUGGCUUGAGUCACGGAGGGGGAAUCGGAAUUCCUGGUGUAGGGGUGAAAUCUGUAGAUAUCAGGAAGAACACCGGUGGCGAAGGCGGAUUUCCAGCCGAUGACUGACGCUGAGGCGCGAAAGUGCGGGGAGCAAACAGGAUUAGAUACCCUGGUAGUCCGCACUAUAAACGAUGCACACUAGGUGUCGGGG
rnacentral:rRNA from 1 species